GCCUACGGCCAUGCUGCCCUGAACACGCCCAAUCUCGUCUGAUCUUGGAAGCUAAGCACGGUCAGGCCUGAUUAGUACUUGGAUGGGAGUCCGUCUGGGAAUACCGGGUGCCGUAGGCU